UCAGAGGCCACCUGACUGCCUACCUUCCCUGGUAUUCCCCCCGGCCGCGGCAAGAGCACUGAGUGGCGGCGACGCCGGCAAGGCUCAGAAAUCACAUAAUUAAGAAGAUUGAGACAGAAAAUGAAGGGAAGGCAAAUGGACUGAGAAUUUGGAAUAAAGACAGUGCAAAUGAUGAUUAUAGUUUCGAGGACCUGGACAUAACAUUUUCAGGAAGAAACCACGGAUUCAUGAAUUCCAGAGGCAUCUUUGUCAUUUUUCAUGGACAUACAACUCUAAUGGUGCCUUAAAGACACAGGAUUGCUUUAUGCCUGUGGCCAACAGUGUUGCUAACAGGCUUUCUUUAGAUUCUGCCCAGAAGGAGAAGAGAGGAGAGAAGAACAAGACAGAGGUCAGAGACAGAAAAGUGCUACAGUUGCAGCCCAACACCAGAAAUGCAGAGGCUUUGGGGUAUCCACACAGAACUAAUUCUCUCUCACCAUAUUUGCACUGUAACACUAAAAUCAAUGGAGCUCAGCACAUCACUGUUCAGGGGCCUUCAAGCACAAAACAUAGUUCUGUUCUUACUCUUAGUGCCAUCCAAACUAUCAGACUGCAACUUCAUUUCAGAUUUCUAUUCUCAUUCAAGCCUGUGUCACAUCUCAGCAUGAAAGUAUGAAUUGGCCAAGUUUGCUAGUACCCUACAAAGUCAAUGUAGUGGUAUCUUUCAGGAAUGGAAAGCAAAAAAAAAAAAAAAUGAAAACAGGAAGGUCUUCCCUUUUUGUACCUGACAUGGGCAAUAUGUCAAUAUUGAGCACACCCAGACAUCAGAUCUCUGUACGGAAAAACAGUGGCUCUUACAAGUAACCGGAGCAUAGGUAGGUCACCUUUUCAUCCUGGUGCUGGAAUGGCAGUAUUACCAGAAUAAAAUCCUGAAA